rnacentral:rRNA from 1 species
CGAACAGACCUUGUUAACCGAUCGGCGACGAUAUAGAUUUGGGUACUUUCAGGACCCGUCUUGAAACACGGACCAAGGAGUCCAGCAUGUACGCAAGUCAUUGGGAAUCAUUAAACCUAAAGGCGCAAUGAAAGUGAAAAUCCUCCUUGCGGGGAUUAAGGGAAGACAGGUGGUUUAGCUGUUAAAAGCGGCCGCUUUGCAUUCCCGGGGCGUCUCAUUCUCAGCAUGUUCUCGUAAUAUGCGAGAAGAGGCGCACCAAGAGCGUACACGCUGGGACCCGAAAGAUGGUGAACUAUGCCUGGUCAGGACGAAGUCAGGGGAAACCCUGAUGGAGGUCCGUAGCGAUUCUGACGUGCAAAUCGAUCGUCGGAACU